GGUUCACAUACUUUUUCUUGCAAUUGUCUAUAUAUAUGUAUAUAUAUAUGUGUGUGUCUGUGUGUGUGUGUGUGUGUGUAUGUAUAUAUAUAUAUAUAUAUAUAUAUAUAUAGACAGUUGCAAGAAAAAGUAUGUGAACC